UUCUGAAAAUGGGGACAGAAACACAACGACACCCCGUUUGUGUUGGGGUGCAGAAGUACCCCCAGUUUUUAGGCAGACCUCACCUUUUCCCUGCCACAAACCCGUACCUGCACAGAGCCCCUGGGUCGCACCCCCUGAAUCUCCAGGAGUCGGGCACAACUUACUACCACAAGCAGCUCCCAUUGGCAUGACAAACACUCUUGCGUCAGAGCAGACAGCACCGUAGCCGUGGCGUUUGAAGGACGGGAUCUUCACCACACGUCGGGCUGCGAUAUUUAGGGCCGGGGAACCCACGCGUGGCCCCACUUACCAUGGCAAUGUCUGCGGUGCUUUCACAGGGCGAGACGAGCGCGGUGCUCUCACAGCCAAGCCUUGCCAUCUCCCACAGCAGGCAUCCAAGGCGCUCAGCCUUUUCCCUGCAGAUCCUUCCCACCCUAAACACCCCGUGGGAUCGGGGCAGGGUGCUUCCCCACCACCCCACACCCCAGCAACGGGGGCACCCCCCUUCCCCACCACCCCGCCUGGCCACAAGACGCGGCUCCCUCUCGCCCCACCACCACCACCAGCACCUACCCGCAGGCCGCCGAGCCGCCGCCGGCCGCCAGCGGCCCCGUUUGCCGUCCCGGUGCCGGUCCCGGUGCGGGUCCCGGUGCGGGCGAGCCCCGCACACGCGGCGCCCCCCCCCCCCCCGCCCCGCCCCCGUCCCCGGCCCUGUCCCCGUCCCCGUCCCCCUCCCGCGGCUGUCGGCGGGGCGGCGCCGGGAGCCACCAGGAAGCGAGCGGCGGCCCCAGCCCCGGCCCCGGUCCCUCCCCGCCCCGCCCCGGGGCACGGGCACAGGGCGGGCAGCGGCUCCGCCAGCGGCUGGGGAGAAAUGAACUGAUUUUGGAGCUGCCCACAGCGGGGGCAGCGCGGCCACACGGGGCGGGCACCGGGACGGGGCUGGGGAGCACGACCCUGCCACAGCAAGGCCGCCGCAAAGACAACAAACGCUGUAAUUAACACUUUAAUUACUUAAUUCAUCAC
rnacentral:lncRNA from 1 species